UUAAAGGGUGCCCACUUAGUGAGCUGAGAUUAAACCCAUAUACCUGAUCCAGAUAAUGCUGGCGUAGGAAUAAAGGAAACU
rnacentral:ncRNA from 1 species